CUGGAAAAAUCCUAAGUGCAGAAAAGCUCUACAGAAACUCAUCAGAUUGUUACCAGUCCACACAGCAACAGGAAAGGCAAUUUUCAUAAUGUUUACAUGUUUUUCCUUGUGGGUACAGAUGCUUAGAUCAAUUCACAUUGUUCCAAAGAGAAACCUUUUGAUGAUGUCAAGUCGCUUAAAUUCCCCCAUCGGAAGGAAGGAAGGAAGGAAAAGGUAUACAUUGGGUACUUACCAUCAGUGGCACACAGCAAUUAUCCCACAAGUAAUGAAUGCCUGUCCCCCAAAAGGAGAGUAGCAAGUAGGAAGUGUUUUUCACACUUGCUAUUCACUCACCUCAUGGGAACAAUCUGCAUGGAAAACAGAUCAAAAACCAAGCAUCUACAACCGCGAGCCACCCAAAUUGCACUGGGAUACAAGAAAAUCAGGACCAAAGUUUAAAUGUUUUGAAACAACGGUUUUGUUCAAGACAGCACACAGAAGCUAGUUUCACCUCCUGGCGAAUUUAAAAAAAUAACGCUCUGUGAAUUAUAAAUUCUUUGUGCUUAGUAUAAAUCAGGAGUGAUUUGAUUCUGACUCACAUUUGAUUUCUGUGUAAUGAUCAUGAUGGAAUGUAAUUUGGAAUCAUAAAUAAAAAGUAAAUUAGUUCACAUGAUUUUGCUUCAGUGUUAAAAUGAUCUGAUUUGGUCCACUGGAAUUAUCUUGAUAGAAAUGUAUCAAUGGAUGAAUAGUAAUUCAUAUUUCAAAGAUGUCAAUGGAUGAGGAA